AUUGAACGCUGGCGGCAGGCCUAACACAUGCAAGUCGAGCGAGUGGCGGACGGGAGAGUAAUGCUUGGGAAUCUGGAGUAUGGGAGGGGAUUACUAAGGGAAACUGUAGCUCAUACCGCGUACCAUAGGAUGUGCCCAAGUGGGUUUAGGUAGUUGGUGAGGUAAAGUCUCACCAAGCCGACGAUCUCUAGCUGGUCUGAGAGGAUGACCAGCCACACUGGGACUGUGACCCGGCCCAGACUCCUACGGGAGGCAGCAGUGGUGAAUAUUGCGCAAUGGGGGCAACCUGACGCAGCCAUGCCGCGUGAAUGAAGAAGUCCUUCGGGUUGUAAAGGUCUUUCGGUAGCGAGGCGUUAACUACAGAAGAAGCACCGGCUAACUCCGUGCCAGCCGCCGCGGUAAUAC
rnacentral:rRNA from 1 species